UGGAAAUAAAAACAAGACACAGCUUUAGUUCGGUAGUCACGGCAAAAACACUUAACAAGUAAAACAGAUAACUCCUAAAAUGAACUUUAAAAAAAAAACAAUAUCUUUCUCGGAUAUUUCGAUGCUUUCCUGCUCCAUGCCGAAGCGGUUUCGCUGGAAGGUCAUCUGAUCCUGAGACAGCUGUUUCAAGAUGAACAGCAACAGUUCGUUGUUGUCUUUACGGAAUGACAGAGAAUGUUAAUGACGGAUCGUAUCUACCACCUAUCGGAUUGGCAGCUGAAAUGAUCGUACAUCUGGCCUGUAGUGAGGUCACGAUGCCGGCUUUUGCUAUCGAGAUACUCUGUUGUUCCAUCGCUUCAUGAAUAC